rnacentral:rRNA from 1 species
AACGAACGCUGGCGGCGCGCCUAACACAUGCAAGUCGAACGAGAAUCCGGGGCAACCCGGUAGUAAAGUGGCAAACGGGUGAGGAAUACAUGGGUAACCUACCCUUGAGAAGGGAAUAACCCGCCGAAAGGUGAGCUAAUACCCUAUACGCUAUCUUUUUUCGAAAGGAAUAGGAAAGACCGGGUCGAGGACCUGGUACUCAAGGAGGGGCGUCAUGUCCUAUCAGCUUGUUGGUGGGGUAACGGGCCUACCAAGGCUACGACGGGUAGGCUGGUCUGAGAGGAUGAUCAGCCACACUGGCACUGAGAUACGGGCCAGACUCCUACGGGAGGCAGCAGUGAGGAAUAUUGCGCAAUGGGCGAAAGCCUGA